rnacentral:rRNA from 1 species
ACGGAAGGCAGCAGUAGGGAAUCUUCCACAAUGGGCGAAAGCCUGAUGUAGCAACGCCGCGUGAGUGAAGAAGGUUUUCGGAUCGUAGAACUCUGUUGUAAGGGAAGAACAAGUACAGUAGUAACUGGCUGUACCUUGACGGUACCUUAUUAGAAAGCCACGGCUAACUACGUGCCAGCAGCCGCGGUAAUACGUAGGUGGCAAGCGUUGUCCGGAUUUAUUGGGCGUAAAGCGCGCGCAGGUGGUUUCUUAAGUCUGAUGUGAAAGCCACGGCUCAACCGUGGAGGGUCAUUGGAAACUGGGAGACUUGAGUGCAGAAGAGGAAAGUGGAAUUCCAAGUGUAGCGGUGAAAUGCGUAGAGAUUUGGAGGAACACCAGUGGCGAAGGCGACUUUCUGGUCCGUAACUGACACUGAGGCGCGAAAGCGUGGGGAGCAAACAGGAUUAGAUACCCUGGUA